GACGAACGCUGGCGGCGUGCUUAACACAUGCAAGUCGAACGGAAAGGCCCUGCUUGCAGGGUACUCGAGUGGCGAACGGGUGAGUAACACGUGGGUGAUCUGCCCUGCACUUCGGGAUAAGCCUGGGAAACUGGGUCUAAUACCGGAUAGGAGCCAUUUUUAGUGUGAUGGUUGGAAAGUUUUUUCGGUGUAGGAUGAGCUCGCGGCCUAUCAGCUUGUUGGUGGGGUAAUGGCCUACCAAGGCGGCGACGGGUAGCCGGCCUGAGAGGGUGGACGGCCACAUUGGGACUGAGAUACGGCCCAGACUCCUACGGGAGGCAGCAGUGGGGAAUAUUGCACAAUGGGCGCAAGCCUGAUGCAGCGACGCCGCGUGGGGGAUGACAGCCUUCGGGUUGUAAACUCCUUUCGCUAGGGACGAAGCUUUUGUGACGGUACCUAGAUAAGAAGCACCGGCUAACUACGUG
rnacentral:rRNA from 1 species